UGUGGGAGGGGGCUUGCUCCCGAUGGCGAUGGGUCAGGUACAUAUUUAUUGGCUGAUACACCGCUAUCGGGAGCAAGCCCCCUCCCACA
rnacentral:misc_RNA from 1 species